AGGCAGAAGACUGUACAUAAUAAA
rnacentral:piRNA from 1 species